AGCGAACGCUGGCGGCAGGCUUAACACAUGCAAGUCGAGCGGGCAUCCUUGUGGUGUCAGCGGCAGACGGGUGAGUAACGCGUGGGAACGUGCCCUUCGGUUCGGAAUAACUCAGGGAAACUUUAGCUAAUACCGGAUACGUGCGAGAGCAGAAAGGUUUAUCUGCCGAAGGAUCGGCCCGCGUCUGAUUAGCUAGUUGGCGAGGUUACGGCUCACCAAGGCGACGUUCAGUAGCUGGUCUGCGAGGAUGAUCAGCCACACUGGGACUGAGACCCGGCCCAGAAUCCUACGGGAGGCAGCAGUGGAGAAUAUUGGACAAGGGGGGCAACCCUGAUCCAGCCAUGCCGCGUGAGUGAUGACGGCCUUAGGGUUGUAAAGCUCUUUUCUCCGGGACGAUAAUGACGGUACCGGAGGAAUAAGCCCCGGCUAACUUCGUG
rnacentral:rRNA from 1 species